rnacentral:rRNA from 1 species
CACGUAGGCGGACCGGAAAGUUGGGGGUGAAAUCCCGGGGCUCAACCCCGGAACUGCCUUCAAAACUAUCGGUCUGGAGUUCGAGAGAGGUGAGUGGAAUCCCGAGUGUAGAGGUGAAAUUCGUAGAUAUUCGGAGGAACACCAGUGGCGAAGGCGGCUCACUGGCUCGAUACUGACGCUGAGGAGCGAAAGCGUGGGGAGCGAACA